UGCUAAUGACGGUACCGUAAGAAUAAGCACCGGCUAACUACGUGCCAGCAGCCGCGGUAAUACGUAGGGUGCAAGCGUUAAUCGGAAUUACUGGGCGUAAAGCGUGCGCAGGCGGUUAUGUAAGACAGAUGUGAAAUCCCCGGGCUCAACCUGGGACCUGCAUUUGUGACUGCAUAGCUAGAGUACGGCAGAGGGGGAUGGAAUUCCGCGUGUAGCAGUGAAAUGCGUAGAUAUGCGGAGGAACACCGAUGGCGAAGGCAAUCCCCUGGACCUGUACUGACGCUCAUGCACGAAAGCGUGGGGAGCAAACAGGAUUAGAUACCCUGGUAGUCCACGCCCU
rnacentral:rRNA from 1 species